rnacentral:ncRNA from 1 species
GUUGGUAUCCGAAAGGAUAAAGGGAAUUCGACGCAGCCAUGCCGAUGGUAAGGCUGUCAACCGAAGCUGCCCCCGCAACUGUAGGCGGUGAGCACUUUUCUGAUCAAAAGCCACUGGGGUUUACCCUGGGAAGGCAGAAAAGUGUGACGACCCGCGAGCCAGGAGACCUGCCAACAU